UACGUAGGUGGCAAGCGUUGUCCGGAUUUACUGGGCGUAAAGGGAGCGUAGGCGGAUACUUAAGUGGGAUGUGAAAUACCUGGGCUUAACUUGGGUGCUGCAUUCCAAACUGGGUGUCUAGAGUGUUGGAGAGGAAAGUGGAAUUCCUAGUGUAGCGGUGAAAUGCGUAGAGAUUAGGAAGAACACCAGUGGCGAAGGCGACUUUCUGGACAAUAACUGACGCUGAGGCUCGAAAGCGUGGGGAGCAAACAGGAUUAGAUACCCUGGUAGUCCACGCCGUAAACGAUGGGUACUAGGUGUAGGAGGUAUAGACUACUCCGGUGCCGCCGUUAACACAAUAAGUAACCCGCCUGGGGAGUACGGUCGCAAGAUUAAA
rnacentral:rRNA from 1 species